rnacentral:rRNA from 1 species
AGCGAACGUUGUCGGCAGGCCUAACACAUGCAAGUCGAACGAAGCCUUCGGGCUUCGUGGUGGACGGGUUAGUAACACGUGGGAACGUACCUUUUGGUUAGGAAUAACGCAGAGAAAUCUGCGCUAAUACCGAAUGAGCCCUUAGGGGGAAAGAUUUAUCGCCGAAAGAUCGGCCCGCGUGGGAUUAGGUAGUUGGUGUGGUAAAGGCGCGCCAAGCCUACGAUCCAUAGCUGGUCUGAGAGGAUGAUCAGCCAGACUCGGACUGAGACACGGCCCAGACGCGAACGGGAGGCAGCAGUGGGGAAUCUUGCGGAGUGGGCGAAAGCAUGACGCAGCCAUGCAGCGUGAAUGAUGAAGGUCUUAGGAUUGUAAAAUUCUUUUACCAGGGACGAUAAUGACGGUACCGGUAGAAAAAGCCCCGGCUAACUUCGUGCCAUCAGCCGCCGUAAUAC